CAGUUUCAACUUGCUGUGGACAAAUCCAGUGAAUAUGCGUAUCAAUCCCGCCAGCAGUGAGUAUCUGCCCCUCACCUGCAAUGACUUCCGUCGCUGCACCCAAUGGAAUGGUAAUAUCUGGCUGAAUAUCAGGAUUCCCUGCUUUGCCAAUUUUCCAGAUGCGACCAUUUUUAAGGCCGACAUCGGCUUUGACGAUUCCCCACCAAUCAACAAUCAAUGCAUUGGUAAUCACGGUAUCGGCAACUUCAUCUGCAAGUAAUUGCGAUUGGCCCAUACCAUCACGA
rnacentral:sRNA from 1 species